rnacentral:rRNA from 1 species
GUCGAGAAUCUUCCGCAAUGCGCGAAAGCGUGACGGAGCGACACCGCGUGAUGGAUGAAGUCCUUCGGGGCGUAAACAUCUUUUAUAAAGGAAGAAAUUUUUGACGUUACUUUAUGAAUAAGGGGCUCCCAAUCUCGUGACAGCAGGAGCGGUAAUACGAGAGCCUCAAGCGUUAUCCGGAAUCAUUGGGCGUAAAGGGUGCGUAGGUGGUUUGAUUAGUCUCCCGUUAAAACUUCGAGCUUAACUCGAAAAGAGCGGGGGAAACGGUCAAGCUAGAUUAUGUGAGAGGUGUGUGGAACUCAUGGUGUAGGGGUGAAAUCCGUUGAUAUCAUGGGGAACACCAAAAGCGAAGGCAGCACACUGGCACAUCACUGACACUGAGGCACGAAACCUAAGGUAGCGAAUGGGAUUAGAUACCCUUGUAGUCC